AGUGAACGCUGGCGGUAGGCCUAACACAUGCAAGUCGAACGGCAGCACAGUAAGAGCUUGCUCUUACGGGUGGCGAGUGGCGGACGGGUGAGGAAUACAUCGGAAUCUACUUUUUCGUGGGGGAUAACGUAGGGAAACUUACGCUAAUACCGCAUACGACCUACGGGUGGAAGCAGGGGAUCUUCGGACCUUGCGCGAUUGAAUGAGCCGAUGUCGGAUUAGCUAGUUGGCGGGGUAAAGGCCCACCAAGGCGACGAUCCGUAGCUGGUCUGAGAGGAUGAUCAGCCACACUGGAACUGAGACACGGUCCAGACUCCUACGGGAGGCAGCAGUGGGGAAUAUUGGACAAUGGGCGCAAGCCUGAUCCAGCCAUGCCGCGUGGGUGAAGAAGGCCUUCGGGUUGUAAAGCCCUGUUGUUAGGAAAGAAAAGCAGCAUGUGAAUACCCCGCUGUUCUGACGGUACCCAAAGAAUAAGCACCGGCUAACUUCGUG
rnacentral:rRNA from 1 species